AACCAUCCGCUAUGGCCAUUAUUGUGAGUCGGGUUAAGGGUCCGUAGUACAGAGAUUUCUUCUUCAUCUUUUGAGUUAGGAAGCUGAACUUUCGGAUUAUACACCAUCUUGAGUGUCUCUAGGCGGCAUUUUUCGGCGUUUAGCUCUCAUCUCCAAAAUGACCUUAAAAUCGGUCAAUUUUCGCUAUCUAUAUUUCCCCAUAUUGUUGCAAGUACAAUGUCGAGUCUCACAUAGCCCUAUAAAUGGGAUAUCGUUAGAAAGGUCUCGACGAGCAGAUUAUGAAAAUAUAUACUUUGUGGCGUCUGGGACGACUCCCUGAUUUUUCUAAAACCAAAAAAUGUCACUGAGUGACAUUAACCCGACUCACAAUAAUGGCCAUAACGGAUGGUUGGGGGCAACUUGUUUCAAAAUUAUUGUUCUAUUACACUAAUUGCAUGCCCUGUGACCUAUUUUUUAUAAAGAUUCAAAAACCUAAAAUCCACCUGCCGAAGCUUACCUAUUUGGUACGGACACCGUCAAUAUUGAGACGAUGAAGAGUUAGCAAGGAGCGAGUCCAAGUUGAGUCGAUGACGUGGUGGCAAUGGUAAAUUGUUCAUCCUGUCACUUGCGGCUUGCCCAGUUCCAGUUGUUCUCUAUCUUUGCAGAAUUUCUAGGAAUUAUCUUUCCUUACUUGUUCCCGGCGAAGACGCAAUUAUAAUUGCAGAUAAUCAAUUAAGAUGAUAACUGACGUGCAGCUAGCGGUGUGCGCCAAUCUUUUGGGUGCAGGGUUGUUUCUGCUCAUCGUUCUCUAUCACUACAUCGCCUCAAACCACUCCCACAAAGCCUUGUGAACUCUUUUACGAUCGAUUGGAGUCCCUCUGGGAACAGUCAUGUUGUCUUCGGACACAGUUCCAAAAUUUCAUCAAAGAAGAAAUCAAAUAUACUGUUAAAAAUGUAGUUUCUAUUUUGAGUCACAAUUUGAAUCUGAUAAUGUCAUUCAUUCCUUUAAUAUUUUCAUUCUUGUUACUUAUAUAUAAAGUAGAGAAAGCAAAAUAACAUAACAUAAAACAUUACCAAGUA